CCAUUACUUCAGGCAGGGGAGGGGUGGAAUGUUUGGAUGAUGACGUAGUAGAGGAAGUACGUGUCGCCACGACAACCAGUAGGUGACGUGAACCAGGGCUCGCCGGCUCUAUGUAGGCUCGCAGGUUCAUCUGUCACACCACAGAAAGUUAUACUCAGACGUGGAGCCAGACUACUAACCGUCAAGAAAGUUCUGUCGAGACACAGAGCUUUUUCUUUACCGGACACAGGUAGAGGGGCAUGUUUUGACCCACAGUCGAUGUCCUGUCCCUGUAGAGGAUCCAGUGUUGUGAAAUACCGAGUAUCGGUGAAGAAACAUUCAUUGAGACUAUUACACUUGUGCCUCGUGUGUGUGUGUGCGUCCGUGAGACAUAAUGAGUCAUUACUGCUGCCUUAUGUUGUCGACACUGGAACUACUGACAGUGAACCUGCUACAAUGAACAAUAAUGGCAGUCUGGAAUACAGUUUUUCACAUGAUCUGUGCAGGCUGGGAGCAGCUUCUGGUGACAUAACUUUCAUCACAUGAAUUCUGUUUGUUGGGUGCGCCCGUCUGUCUUUUUUUCUGUAAAGCACCAUGAGCCUGCUCAUAGGACAUUGACGCUAUAUAAGUUCGCUGUAGUAUUUAUUAUUCCUGGGAAAAAGAUGCUAUCCUCCUGUCACAGACUACAAAAUAAAAGUGUACAGGUCACAACUAUAAAUAGACUUCAGGUGCACGCGCCGCAGACUGUUUACGAGUGCUGAACUGCAGCUGUUGUCCUUAUUGACGAAUAAAACCAGGAAUGAUUGUCCUUGACCUCCAAAUGGAAUCAGACUGUUUACCUCUAGUGAAGUAGGAAAGCGGCCAGACAUCGUAUUGGUGUUGUCAGAGUGAGAACGACAGCCACUAGUGGAGUGGAUUUUAUUUUACUUUACUAAAAAAAAAAAACCUGAACAGUGAACUGCUGCUCAUCCGUGUUGAAGUUGAACAAACGACAGGAAAUAAUAUUUACUAGAAUGAUGGGUCUCCAUAACCCUGAAGCGUCAAAGCCAAGGUUGGGACCGUCAGCUGUAGUCGCGAAAACAACCAUGGAGAAACAAGAACAACAUUAUUACCGAGGAUAUGACGGAACCCAGCACAAACUGUUUCUUGUGAGAUACCAUCGGCACAGCGCAUGUCGGCGACGACCCUGACCUGUUAUUUUCCAGAAGAUGUCAGUCAGACAAAGAAGGACAUCACUGUUUAUCAUCACAACAGCGAUCCGGGUGUUGUUCCAGACAAUGUCCUGGAGUGUAUCUGGGUGAGGGGCGAGAUCAAGUGUCUUGUUCACCCGGAAUAUGAGUUCACCAACAAUGUCACCAAUCACCUUAUUGUCAGGAUCGCGCAAGUGUCGGAGAAUUACGAGGGUAACUACAGCUGUCGGACGUCUGGCUCCCGAGUUGAGGAUAUCAAGUUCUGCGAAUUUCAUCUGCUUAAAAAUCAGCCUCUUGCUGUGCAAGCCAACCUGGCGACAAAAUUAGCUCCACCUGUUGCCAUAGUGAUCUUUCUCUUGAUUAUCUGCGUGGGUACCUGUCGUCUGUAAGCACAGGAGACUAGCUACUCUACCAAACUACGGGAAAAGGAUUGGUCAGAUGCAGUCUCGACUGUAUGUAGUGACUGAGCGAGCAGCUGAUAACCCGAGAAGACCGACGAUGUCAGACGACAGGAUGAUGAGCAACGGUUCUGCGGCGCUGCUGUCGAUCAUCAAACACAUUUGAUUAAUUAUCCAUUUCUGUAUACUGGCGAAACAGGGAAGCGGGUCAGUGAACUCAGGCCACAUUCCUCCCUAGAACGAUGGGUAUGUAAAUCUGAGAAAAGCGAGUUCUCUAACAUCUCCCUCUCCUCCCCCAACGACCUGAAGAGGCUAUUGGAUGAUCUGUACCUUACUACCUCCUUAUUAUCAUCUGCAUCUACAGCAUCAUCCUUGUUACUGUGUGAUAGUUUUACCUCUGGAAUUUGCCAUCCCUCGCUUACUUAUCAUUCGCUGGUGUCUAUCAAAUAGCUCUAAAGAGCGGAGAGUGAAAGAAUGAAAAGGACUACAAAGGACGAACUAUUUCCAUUAAUGGCAAAUGCGUUUUAGUGUUUGUUAUCGCCGUUUUAUAUUUUUGUAAUUUUGAUACUUGUGUUGAUUUUGAAGAUUUAUUGCAGAUUAUUUCGUGUCCACUUAGUGUCGCCACAUAUGUAAAUAUCGCCAUCGGUACACUUGCGGAAUGUAUCUUGCCAUUGCACGAAAUAUUUUAAGUCAAUAAACUUCUGAUUU